rnacentral:rRNA from 1 species
AGUGAACGCUGGCGGUAGGCCUAACACAUGCAAGUCGAACGGCAGCACAGUAAGAGCUUGCUCUUACGGGUGGCGAGUGGCGGACGGGUGAGGAAUACAUCGGAAUCUACUUUUUCGUGGGGGAUAACGUAGGGAAACUUACGCUAAUACCGCAUACGACCUACGGGUGAAAGCAGGGGAUCUUCGGACCUUGCGCGAUUGAAUGAGCCGAUGUCGGAUUAGCUAGUUGGCGGGGUAAAGGCCCACCAAGGCGAGGAUCCGUAGCUGGUCUGAGAGGAUGAUCGCCCACACUGGAACUGGGACACGGUCCAGACUCCUACGGGAGGCCGCAGUGUGGAAUAUUGGACAAUGGGCGCAAGCCUGAUCCAGCCAUACCGCGUGGGUGACGACGGCCUUCGGGUUGUAAAGCCGUUUUGUUGGGAAAGAAAAGCAGCAGGUUAAUACCCCGCUGUUCUGACGGUACCCAAAGAAUAAGCACCGGCUAACUUCGUG